rnacentral:lncRNA from 1 species
AUUCGACUAACCAGUAGAAGACCCCGGCCCAAACAGGAGGAGAGGACAACUCUUAGGGGCCCAAAUGUGGCAGAAUUAGCUCAGGGAUUGUGAAUUUACAAGCUAUCCAGAGCCUGUUGGCCGGCUGUGAGCAGCUUUGUCGGUAACCAGCAGUUGGCUGGUAGUGUCCUGAGCAAGAAGGGACCUUGAAUUGCUCACUGCCGGCAGCAGCAAAACCUGGGAAGCUGGCAACCCAGACAAAACCUGUUGCUCAGGACCGGUUUGUGCCUUCAACCCGCGGCUGGGACUCUUGGCCAAGAGCAGGCGGUUGUGAUGGCGAUGUUCUCUUACCCUCAAAGUCCCCCGACCCCUCUCCAGGUGAACUCUGGUAAACUCAGUUGAAUUUCUUUAGGAAGGUUUCUGGGAAGAGAGAAAUCUCAAAUAUAAUCAUAAGGAAAUGUCUAAUUCCAAAAGCUCCUGAAGUCUUAC